CUGUAACGAAGUCCACGUCAGCAAAAAUCUGAGCUGGAGAAAGGAGAGAGAAGGAGCGGGCUCUUCGUGAGUCGCCGGGCUAAGACACAGAACUCGAGAACUUUCCGCCCGCUUGCAGCCUGAUGCGAGCGCUAGCGCCGCCGCUUCCGAUCCCCUGCGUCUCCCUUGCCUCGUGCGCUUGUUCUUCCAGCUCUGCGCGCGAAAUCAAUCCUUGCCUCACUCCAAAUUGCUUGAUGCGCGCCAAAUCGCCUCCAGCUUCCCCGAAAUCGCCAUCGCUCCGGAACCCUAGAACAGCCGGCGGCGCCGCAUCAACGAGAUGGUCAGCACUCAGCGGUCCAAAAGGACGGGUGCACCGGCACUCGCCCCGUCGUCGCUACCUCAGUUCGUUCCGCCGUUGAUGCAUCAUCUCGUCCCGCCGUCGGCGCCACAGCUAAUCCUGCCAUCGGCGCUGCACCUCGUCCCGCCGCUGGCACCUCACCUUGUCCCACCACCACGCCAGCCCACCAAAGGCAGCGGCGGCCUCUACACCAUGCUGGCUCCCCCAGACGCAAGGCCCCUUGUGGUACAGGGAUAUUGACAAUUUGACUCCAGAAGCAUGGGGAGUGGAUUCUCACCCACGUGGUGGGUUCCUUGGUUUAUUUAACAACACGCCAAGCCUUUCACAAUCUUGAGGCUCGGAAGCUUCCAUGCCUUGCAGCAAAAGAUCACAAGGAGUCAGUCAUGCUAGAAACAUACCGCUCGUUGAUGAUGCAAGACACAACUAGGAUGUCUGAAGAUGUGAGAUGUGAGCACGUGUUGGCAUUGAAGUGUUUCCGGGAGAAGCUAUUUGGCAAAACUGACUAAGUGGCUGGAGAUUAUUGAUGCAGAUGGAUUCGUCGCUCUUUUCUAUUGAAAUUCCAACUUAUCAUCGUCAAGAUCAAAACUAAUGGCUUGUUUGCAUUGUCUCUUGUUUGCUUAAUGUUCUCUUAAAAAGACUGGUGUGAUGUUUAAGUGUCGAUGCCAUGGUGUUAUGUGCCAUCAGUUUGUUCGUUAUGAUUAAAACUAACGGCUUGUUUGCCGGGCGUCUUAUUUAGUUCUAUGUUUGGUUAAUGCUUCCUUGGGAAGACUCAAGCAAUGUUCAACUGUGGUGUCAUGGUGCUAUCUGCUAUGCACACCUGUUUGUUGAUUGUUUAUUAAUCAGUUUUUCUGGGUCUGUUCUAUUGGCAUGAAUGGCAUAUAUGUAUAUAUAAUUAUCGAAACUGCUUGAAUAUUGAUCAGUUUCUUUUGGUAUAUUCUCUUGGCAUGAAUGAUAGAUAUAUGCUGAUUGAAAUGGCCACAAAGAUGUUGUUUGUAUUGGAUCACAACAGGUGAUAUACACAUGCAAAUAUUGAAUGUCCAUGUUUUUAUUAGGGUCAGUCUUAGAGCCAACCUAUAAGCCAGCUUACUGUGUGUGAAGGCUUUAUAGAUGAUGUGGCGGGGGGUUAUAGCCAGCAGCAGGCUGUGCUAUUAACCAUGCUCUAAUGACGGGAAAUAGAGGAUACGUAUCGCAAGGGUGCUGAGCUGUGGGCCAGGAAACGGCGGAAUGCCGGCCACCGUUACCCCGUAGAAGUUGUUCCGUGGCUCGGGACGCCCGCCGCCGUCCUGAUUCGUGGAACAGGAAAAACAGUUUCCGUCUGUCGUCGGGGCAGCGCGUGGAUUGGCUGCUAUUCGGCUGCAUUCGAUCCAUUCCCCACCCCCGCCACAGGCGAGGUCGCCGUGCCAAGGAUCCCUGCCGGCAUGCAAAGGAGCAUCCCGAGAUCUGGCUCAUGGAGUUCCUGAUGCAACCAGAGAAAAGGCCAAGCUGGGAGUGGAGAACACACGCUUGUGUCGUUCGGAGGGCCCUGCUCUGAUUCGGUUGCCAAGAUCAGAGGACUGUGGCUGGUACAUCAUAGAACUCCGACGGAUCUGACGGCGCAAGGGGCGCCGGGCUCAGUUCAUGGGUCGGAUCAGUGGAUCACGUGCCUGCAACAGCCCUCAGCAGGGACGCGCAGAUCCGUGAGGAAGAAAUAGGCCGGUCGGCGAGACGGGAGGGCUCGCUCCAGGUCUCCAAACUGUCCACCAGCAAGAUGAAUCUGCAAGCACCUGACUGGACUUGUGGACAAAGAGCAUUUGAAAAAUUUUCAAGGUGAGGAUUGGAGCAGCGGCACCGAACAGGACACCUUGGCACCUUGCCCCUCCCACGUGUCUGCCUUCGAGAAAGGGCCGAUGGGUUUUGCGGAGAACCAUUCUGAAAAUGCUAUUGUACCGAUGCUUGGGACAAGUUUUGACUCGCUAGGAGAGACGUAUGUUUUCUACAACCUCUAUUCCUGGGAGAAAGGAUCUGCAAAUAAGAUAUGGGAAGAGGAGGUUGAAUGUGGAGAGAAUGAAAUGUGUACAGAAUUUGUGUGUGGACGUUCUGGUUCGUGUUGAGACAGUUUGAACAUGAGGUCUUGUUGGUAUGAGUGCCCUCGCGCUGGUGUUUUCGUUGGUGGUGAGAUAGUUUGAAAGCUUUGAGUGGGUGUUUUCUGAUUUAUAAUAUGAUGGGUGGCACGGUACCCAGGACUAAAGCACCAGGUAAUGCAUAGGUUGAUUGGUAAUGUUUUGUAUUGAUUUCUUAAUAGGUGGUGAUUUGUAGGAAGCGGUUGUUCUGGUCACGAGCACAGGUGAGCGUGGUAUUUGGGCGGCUCGAUAUGUCAUGGGGGUGCGUUGCAUUGAAUUCCUUUGCCAUCUAGUGUCUUUGUUGUUUUAUCUUCUUUCUUUCAUCACCCAAGUAAUUUUCUUUUGUGCUCAAGCAUUCCCUGUUUUCGGAGGCUAAACAUGUUGUGGCUUAAUGAUUACGCCGCUGAAAUCCUUUGAGAACAUGCUCUAACUAUCACUUAUCAUUCAUGCUUGUUAAUUCAGAUUUUCACUAUUAAUCGUAGCUCUUGAUUAUGUAGAUGUAAGCUCACAUUGUUUAAUCUCCCCUCGUUUGUUGAGUUCUGUUAUAUGUUUAAAUUGCAGGAAACAUGUUGGAAGGUGACAAGAAUAAAAGCAAUGAGCCACUUCUCACCUGAUGUGUUUAGUCUUUCGUUUUGGUAUUUUGGAACUUCUCGGAAUCAGGCUCUCCUCUGCUCAUGAUUUCAGGCUUUCAUUUUGUGAUUUUAUGACUCAUCGGUGUUCUUAAUUACUACCUCAUAAGUUCAAUUGGCUAAUACGGUUGGCAUGAACAUAGAUUGUUGCUAAAUUUCAGAGAUGCACUGUCAGUUCAGCUUUUUGUGAUUGCGGAACUGGUCGAAAUAGUUUUAUUUAGCUAGUUUAAAAAAAUUAUUUAGCUCAUAGUUUUUCUACAGAGAAAUGACCAUGUUUAUGACCAAGAAAUGGUCGAUUCAACAUUUUGGAUAUUGCAGUUCUUUUUUUUGGAUAUUUUCUUCUGCAGUUUACCUAUAAUCUUUUUCUGCCAAAUUGUAUUCAGUUUUCCUCUCCCAGCGGCAAGUUCAGCAGUUACCCCUCGUA